ensembl:lncRNA
CAGAGCUCUUGCAGCAUGAGUUGACAUGUUCUCCACCCACUCAAAGGAUCAGAGAAUUAAUCUAGUACUGAAAGUAUAAGAUACAGCUAGCUAGCACUGCAGUACAUCAAAUAUGGCUAAAGAGGGAAUUGAAGCCCAGAUGGAAAUCGAAUCCAAAAAGGACGCCAUGGAUGAGAAUACUGCCCUGGAUGUCCUCUCUGGACAUUUCUCAGCCCCCCAGCCUGUCAUCUCAGAACUGCAGUGUCACACGCAGCUCGCCUCUGCGCCCGUAGAGCUCGCCUCCGUGGAUAUCCCAGCAGAGGCAGCAUUGAAUGGACAUACUGCAACUGAGGUGACCAUUGAGGGAUAGAUCUCUGCAGAUUUCCUCAGUCAGUAUGGAGGACUGAAGAGAGCCUCACGGGGAGCCGACCAGCAAAUUUUACUUUUCAAUAUUUAGGGCUUCAAGGGACCGCGGGAAUUUAUUAACAUCCAACACUCAGUGCCUUUCCUGCUUAGGUUCUCACCAAAAGAAAAUCAAACAAACAAAUUUGAAUGCGGCAUCAAGGCGGGGGAAUAAGAGUCUUUGGAUCAGAAUGUGAAUAUUUGGAAUGAACAAAUUAUGGCUUCUUUCAUAGAUUUUCUGUAUCGUAAUGCAUGUAUUGUGGAUUUGCAUCGAUUGUAAAUGGCAUACAUUGUGUAUGGAUACUGUAAAGUUAAUGAAUGUGGAAAUGACUUGUCUUCGCAUUUGGACCAUGUUUGUAUGGAUGGGAGGGGUAUUUCCUUGUACGUGUUUUCUACAUGCUGACUACACCGGGCACGAGCGUGUGUCUGCGUGCUCCAUCACAUGCAUGCUGAUUUUGUCCAUCCACACCAGACGCGAUCAGGACAUGUACGUUGAAAUAUCAAAACGAACUCUGAACCAACUAUAUUAAUUUGGGGACAGGUUGAAACACAUGAAACAUUCAUGGACAUUUAGCUAGCUAGCUCGCUGUUGCAAACUAAUUUGUCCUGGGAUAUAAAUAUUGGGUUGUUACUUUACCUGAAAUGCACAAGGUCCUUUUUUCCCCCUGGAUCUUUGUAGAAUUUUGACCCAUUUUGAGUCACACAAAAUCGUGUGUCCUCUACUCCGACAAUUAAUCCACAGGUAAAAGUGGAAACCUAGUUAGUUUCUAGUAAUCUCUACUUCUUCAGUCUUCUUCUGUGGACUUUAUAUGGCGGUUGGUAACCAACUUUAAGGUGCAUUACCACUAUCAACUGGACUAGAGUGUCGAUCUCAGUUCUGCUUUCAAUCACCCGUGUGGGUCUAUACUCCUAAAAACCAAUGAGGAGUUGGGAGAUGCAGGACUCACAGCGUGUCACGUGCCAAAAAUAAAACCAAGUUCUAUUUUAGCGCCUGGCUACGCAGACGCUUGCGAGCAGUUUGGAUGAUUGAAUAGCAUACCCAUCCUCUUCACUGUGUACUGACAAUAUGUCUACAGUCCUGUUGGAGAAAGUCUGCCCUGGGCAAUGAGAAAGGGUGUGAAGUUUUUCAGGCCCUCUGGCCAGAUUAUCUUAAAGACGUCCUCUGGCGAUUUUCUAACUUUUACUGUUGAAAAGCGAUAUCCCAAGUAUAUAUACAGUAAAGUACACACAAUAAAGGGUAAAAAUAAUAGAGGAACAAAAGAGGAAAGCCCCCCCCCCCCUACUUAUGCUAAGUUAUGACUUACCUGGACCACCUAUUGAGAUGUGCCUAUUAAGCCUUUUAAGUAAAUCAGGUGUUAAAUGAGGUGAAAAGGAGACUGGAGUUCAGCUUUAACGUUCAAUUCACUACACUCAAAUCUGGCCACUGAAAAUGGGGGCUUGUAGAUCAUGUUUGUUUUUUAAAAUUAUAUUUUCUAAUUUUGUUUUGUAUAGACCAUUAGAUGUGGUACAACCGCAGUUUGCGUACACGGUUCCGUGCUCUGGAAGAUACCAUGAGGAGUUAUGUAAUGAAUAUGCUGGGUUGGAUUUCAUUCACCUUUUUGAAUAAAGAUGUUACUCACCGUGA